rnacentral:rRNA from 1 species
ACGAACGCUGGCGGCGUGCUUAACACGUGCAAGUCGAACGGAAAGGCCCUGCUUUUGUGGGGUGCUCGAGUGGCGAACGGGUGAGUAACACGUGAGUAACCUGCCCUUGACUUUGGGAUAACUUCAGGAAACUGGGGCUAAUACCGGAUAGGAGCUCCUGCUGCAUGGUGGGGGUUGGAAAGUUUCGGCGGUUGGGGAUGGACUCGCGGCUUAUCAGCUUGUUGGUGGGGUAGUGGCUUACCAAGGCUUUGACGGGUAGCCGGCCUGAGAGGGUGACCGGCCACAUUGGGACUGAGAUACGGCCCAGACUCCUACGGGAGGCAGCAGUGGGGAAUAUUGCACAAUGGGCGGAAGCCUGAUGCAGCAACGCCGCGUGCGGGAUGACGGCCUUCGGGUUGUAAACCGCUUUCGCCUGUGACGAAGCGUGAGUGACGGUAAUGGGUAAAGAAGCACCGGCUAACUACGU